rnacentral:rRNA from 1 species
AUUGAACGCUGGCGGCAUGCCUUACACAUGCAAGUCGAACGGUAACGGGCCUUCGGGUGCCGACGAGUGGCGAACGGGUGAGUAAUGUAUCGGAACGUACCUUUCAGUGGGGGAUAACGUAGCGAAAGUUACGCUAAUACCGCAUAUUCUGUGAGCAGGAAAGCAGGGGAUUGCAAGACCUUGCGCUGAUUGAGCGGCCGAUAUCAGAUUAGCCAGUUGGUGAGGUAAAGGCUCACCAAGGCGACGAUCUGUAGCGGGUCUGAGAGGAUGAUCCGCCACACUGGAACUGAGACACGGUCCAGACUCCUACGGGAGGCAGCAGUGGGGAAUUUUGGACAAUGGGGGCAACCCUGAUCCAGCCAUGCCGCGUGAGUGAAGAAGGCCUUCGGGUUGGUUAAA